GACGAACGCUGGCGGCGUGCUUAACACAUGCAAGUCGAACGGAAAGGCCCUGCUUUUGUGGGGUGCUCGAGUGGCGAACGGGUGAGUAACACGUGAGUAACCUGCCCUUGACUUUGGGAUAACUUCAGGAAACUGGGGCUAAUACCGGAUAGGAGCUCCUGCUGCAUGGUGGGGGUUGGAAAGUUUCGGCGGUUGGAGAUGGACUCGCGGCUUAUCAGCUUGUUGGUGGGGUAGUGGCUUACCAAGGCUUUGACGGGUAGCCGGCCUGAGAGGGUGACCGGACACAUUGGGACUGAGAUACGGCCCAGACUCCUACGGGAGGCAGCAGUGGGGAAUAUUGCACAAUGGGCGGAAGCCUGAGGCAGCAACGCCGCGUGCGGGAUGACGGCCUUCGGGUUGUAAACCGCUUUCGCCUGUGACGAAGCGUGAGUGACGGUAAUGGGUAAAGAAGCACCGGCUAACUACGUG
rnacentral:rRNA from 1 species